UUACCUGAUGGAAAAUACUAGUUCUCAUUUGACCAGCAAAGUUAAGCAAUGUCAAGCCCAGUCAGUACUUAGAUAGUUGGCCACUUGUGAACACCAUGUACUGUG